UCAAACACCGUUUAUAGUCGAGUUAAAAUUAAAAACCAGAAAAAUCGCCGAAAAACUCUCAUCGCCGCUGAUGCUGCCGUUGUAGUAUGUGUUUUAACUCCAGAAAAUUACUUCUUUGAAAUUCACUUGAACCUUUACACCGCUGACUGCUACUGUAAUUGUGCUCGUAUAAUUUACCUGUAUGGCAAUAAAAACAAAAACAGUCUUCCCGGUU